GCCGGGAUAGCUCAGGCGGUAGAGCGAGGGACUGAAAAUCCCUGCGUCCCCAGUUCAACUCUGGGUCCCGGCAC
rnacentral:tRNA from 1 species